CGGUGAUGCCUCCUUACCGUUAUCCAAGGAAGUACUCGAUCAUGCUGUGGGCGAUGCAAGCCUUAGACGCCAGUCGUCAAAAGUGUGGUGCGAGGCAGGGUUAGAUGCCCU
rfam:Paenibacillus ferrarius strain CY1 CY1_scaffold22, whole genome shotgun sequence.